CUCCUGCUCGCCGCCGCCGCAUCCUCUUGCCAGCCGCCCCAUCAUCCCUCCACCGUCCCUCCUUCCCGCCGCCGCCGCAUCACCCCUCCUCCGUAUCCCCCUCCCGCUGCCUCACUCCUGUGAUCCACCCGCCGUAGCCAGGUGGUACGACGCCCUCUCCUCAUCACGCCGGAUCCUGGCCGCCGCCGCUCUCUUCACCGGCGGGAUCGGAGCCGCCAGCCACAACAGCAGUAUCGUAGUCGGCCCUCGUCGCCUGCGGGAUCGGAGUCCACUGCAUCAAUUGGGAGGACAACAAGCUGCGAGAGCAAACUCUACGACAGGUGCAUUUGAAUACAUGUGAUGGAAAAACUGAUCGGAAAAGAGCAAAGGAGAAAACUUGUCUAGCAGAAUAUCCUCAAGUUGUGGAAAAGGCAGCAAACUUUGUAAAUAAUAAACUCUAAAGGUUACAUCAUAGUUAUCGGAAUGACCAGCGUUUUUUAGAUGAUUAGGCCUUUUUCCAUAAUUACAAACACUCCCAGGAUGAAUUGCUGUUGAACAAAGAAGGAGGGACCUAUUUCAAUACUCCCGGAGAAGACCCUUCUGUCCUUUUGCGUGUUAAAGAAGACUAUGAUGAUGUUAAAGAAGACUAUGAUGGUGCAGAACCCUCUGGAAACUCGAUGGCAGUGAUUAACAUGAUCAGAUUUCCCAGUAUAUUUGAUGCCGCAAAAUCUGAAGGCUACAAACUAGAUAGAAAUGGUGCUGGUGGGGGACAAAAGGAUCUCUGCAGAAUUUCGAAACAUGAUUGCAGCUGCUUUCUCAUCAUAUGAUCAAAGAGAACAAUCCAGUUGAUGCAGAUAGACCCCAGGAACAUGUCAUUCUGGGAGAGAAACAAUGCAAACAUCGCGUAGAUGGCACGGGGCAGCCCAGCGUAGAAGCCAGCGGUGGCGCAUGUGUGUCAAGAGUUCAAGUGCAGCCCUCCCGUGACUUCU